rnacentral:tRNA from 1 species
GCACUAUUGGUGUAGGGGUAGCAUGUAAGAUUCCCAUUCUUGCGACCCGGGUUCGACUCCCGGAUAGUGCA